UGUGCCAGCAGCCGCGGUAAUACGGAGGGUGCGAGCGUUAAUCGGAAUAACUGGGCGUAAAGGGCACGCAGGCGGACUUUUAAGUGAGGUGUGAAAGCCCCGGGCUUAACCUGGGAAUUGCAUUUCAGACUGGGAGUCUAGAGUACUUUAGGGAGGGGUAGAAUUCCACGUGUAGCGGUGAAAUGCGUAGAGAUGUGGAGGAAUACCGAAGGCGAAGGCAGCCCCUUGGGAAUGUACUGACGCUCAUGUGCGAAAGCGUGGGGAGCAACAGGAUUAGAUAC
rnacentral:rRNA from 1 species